GCACGUAGUUAGCCGGUGCUUAUUCUUACGGUACCGUCAUGACCCGGGGGUAUUAGCCCCAGGCUUUUCGUUCCGUACAAAAGCAGUUUACAACCCGAGGGCCUUCAUCCUGCACGCGGCAUUGCUGGAUCAGGCUUUCGCCCAUUGUCCAAAAUUCCCCA
rnacentral:rRNA from 1 species